GACGAACGCUGGCGGCGCGCCUAAUACAUGCAAGUUGAGCGCUGAAGGUUGGUACUUGUACCAACUGGAUGAGCAGCGCACGGGUGAGUAACGCGUGGGGAAUCUGCCUUUGAGCGGGGGACAACAUUUGGAAACGAAUGCUAAUACCACAUAAAAACUUUAAACAUAAGUUUUAAGUUUGAAAGAUGCAAUUGCAUCACUCAAAGAUGAUCCCGCGUUGUAUUAGGUAGUUGGUGAGGUAAAGGCUCACCAAGGCGAUGAUACAUAGCCGACCUGAGAGGGUGAGCGGCCACAUUGAGACUGAGACAGGGCCCAAACGCCUACGGGAGGCAGCAGUAGGGAAUCGUCGGCAAUGGACGAAAGUCUGACCGAGAAACGCCGCGUGAGUGAAGAAGGUUUUCGGAUCGUAAAACUCUGUUGGUAGAGAAGAACGUUGGUGAGAGUGGAAAGCUCAUCAAGUGACGGUAACUACCCAGAAAGGGACGGCUAACUACGUG
rnacentral:rRNA from 1 species